UAUAAACAGCAUCUCAUAUGUUGGGAGGUACAGGCAGUACAUCAGCCCUAACAAUGUUAUUGUGUCCCUCUGAACUCUGCUCUCGGAGCUAAGCAUUUGGAAGGCAGACCCAGAAUAAAGAGAGGCAUUCACGAAGCUAACAUUUUAUAUUGAGAACCCUUAGUACCCCUUUUAAUGUGCUAUAAAAUCAGGGGCUUCGCUUUUUCAUGAACUGUGUGCAAACGCAGAAGCAGUGACUGGAGGUUGCCUCUGUUUGGGUCUGUUUUAUGGUUGC
rnacentral:lncRNA from 1 species